rnacentral:rRNA from 1 species
UACGUAGGGUGCAGGCGUUAAUCGGAAUUACUGGGCGUAAAGCGUGCGCAGGCGGCCUCUUAAGUCAGAUGUGAAAUCCCCGGGCUUAACCUGGGAACUGCGUUUGAAACUGGGAGGCUUGAGUGUGGAAGGGGGGGGUGGAAUUCCCAGUGUAGCGGUGAAAUGCGUAGAUAUUGGGAAGAACACCUGAGGCGAAGGCGGGAUGCUGGGCCGACACUGACGCUGAGGCGCGAAAGCGUGGGGAGCAAACAGG